CUAGAUGUUGAUUUAAAAUAUAUUUGAUGAGCAUCCUAUAAAAAUAUUUAAUCUAUAAAUCAAAUGCAUGAAGAGCUACUAUGUAGUUAUUUGGAUUAAUUUUAAAACAAGUAUUUCAAAGCUUUUUAAGUAAUAACUUUUAAUGCUCUCACAGAAAUAACCUCUUCAUUUUUCUAAGUUGUUUAGGUAGGUCAAAACACUGAUGCAUAAUUUUAAAUAACAAAGGAACAGAAUAGCACAUAUCUUUCAAAUUCAGAAGGCAGCUUCAAUUAGAACACUUCUUGUAUGAUAUGUCAAUUCUGAUUACAAGUGUACUAAUUAAAUUAUUUAGUUACAGAUUUACUGGUGUUUUAAUUGUGGCUGAGUUCAACAAACAGAGUCUGUUUUCUGUACUGGACAGAUGGUUCCCCUUCCAAAGUUCUUGUUUCCUAUGGAUGCAAUGAAAAAUGGAUGUCAGGUGAUAGAAUCAUGGAAUCAUAGAAUCCUUAGAGGGAUUAUCAUUUGUUUUGUGAGUUGCAGCCAUUGCAUAUCAAUUACUCAGUUGCAGCUCUCUCUUAUAGAAAUAUAGGGGUGACUGUAUUGUUCUUGUGAAGAAAUGAUUUAAUCUUUAUGACAUCUCAGUGAUUCUUCACAUCUCCAUGAUUUCCCAAUUAGAAUGUUGUUUGGAAGAAAAGCAAUACACAUACAUACAUCUUUCUGUUGACAUACAUGCAGACUCAGACUGUGAAUCAGAAACUCUUUUAUUUUUCCACUUAACAUCAUCAAUAAUAAUAAUUUUAACUUUAUUAUUUUACACCAGAGUAGCUCAUUUUUAUGUGGACUGCCUAGAUAAGAUAAAGCUGUUGUCUACAGGUUUUUACUAUUGUUACAAUAACUGUAACAGUGAGAAUACUCUGAUACUAAUGAUGCUAACAUUUAAUCAGGAUGUUGUAAACUAAAUUCAAAGAAAAUCAUCAUUCCUAAUUUGUAGAUGUUUCCUGAUUAAUGUUGCUAAAUUGAGCUGUAUAUUCAGUGGAAAGAGAUAGCAUAGGUAGAGAUCAAAUCAGUUAACAAUAUUACUAAUUUGUGUGAUAAGGAAAAUUAUUCAAUCUCAUUUCUUUAUAAUCACUACUUUUUUACACUGAGUAUAAAAAACAAAUACAAGAGUGAAAAUAAUGCUUCUUUUCAAUGAGAAAGACAGGAGCCUGAAGAUAAAUAGAGGGUGGAUCUUGAUUAAAAAAAAAAAAAAAAGUCUUUUUUGUUUUUAUUGCCACUUUUUUUGCAACUUAAAUGGAUUCUUUUAAGAAAGUUCUUACUAAAAUUGUAGUUUGGGUUGAAAGAAACAAAAAAUCUAGCUAUGUUACUUUCAAAGUAAGAAGUUGAGUUUCAAUGGAGCCUGUUUGAAAGUGGAAAUAUAGCAAAGAAGCACAUAACUCUGUGAGUAGAUCAGGAAAUUUAUGGAUAAUUCAGUGUUUCUGGUGAUAAAUAUAAAUGGAAUGCUCUAAAGGCUGUUAGGUUCUUCUCAGUAUUCCUGGGGAGACAUGAUAGCAGCCUGUCAAUAUAUAAAGGGGGCUAAAAGAAAGAAGGGGACAGACUCUUUAACAGGCUCUGUUGUGAUAGGACAAAGGGAAAUGAUUUCAAAUUAAAGGAGAGGAUAUUUGGAUUGGAUACAAAGAAGAAGUUUUUUACGACAUGGGUGGUAGAUGCCCUGUUCCUAGAGUGUCAUGGUUUUGUGAUAUUUUGUUAUUGGUAUUCCACAUCUUGUAGUGCACUGAGAGUUAAAGAGUUAAUGCUCCAGUUCUAUGGAUCCUUGAUAGUUCCAGGUAUUCAUCAUUAAAAAAGGUCUCAGACGAGAAGAAGAACUACAUUCUCAUCAAAGUUCAUAGACUCAUAGAAUGGCCUGGGUUGAAAACAACCAUAAUGAUCAUCUAGUUUCAAGCACCCUGCUAUGUGCAGCGUCGCCAACCUCCAGACCAGGAUGCCCAGAGUCACAUCCAGCCUGGCCUCGAAUGCAUCCAGGGAUGGGGCACCCACAACCUCCUUGGGCAACUUGUUCCAGUGCGCCACAACCCUCUGAGUGAAAAACUUCUUUCUAUUAUCUAACCUAAAUCUCCCCUGUCUCAGUUUAAAACCAUUCCACCUUGUCCUAUCACUAUCCACCCUCAUAAACAGCCAUUUCCCCUCCUGUUUAGAUGCUCCAUUCAAGUAUUGGAAGGCCGCAAUGAGGUCUCCUCAGAGCCUGUUCUUCUCCAAGCUAAACAAGCCCUCAACUUUUCUUCAUAGGAGAGGUGCUCCAGCCCUCUGAUCAUCAUAGUGGCCCCUCUCUGGACCCACUCCAAGAGCUCCACAUUCUUCCUGUACUGGGGGCCCCAGGCCUGGACGCAGUACUCCAGAUGGGGCCUCACAAGAGUCUAGUAGAGGGGGACAAUUACC
ensembl:lncRNA